CCAUAACAAAUAUGAGCAUAAACACCACAAAAGUAACAUUAUUUGGUGAGGUGAGGGAGAACAAGCUGAAGAACCACCGAUGACCAUCCAUCGCCCCUCACCUAAAGCACAUUUGCAGUUCCAUAAAACGGCUAGAGAAACAAGUCAUCAGUAACCGAAAAGAGCCUACAGUCGUCAUCACGCGCCCAAGAACAGUUCUGAACCAAUAACCCCGAUCUGAGCCCAAAACAAAGAUUAUCCCGCUGCAUUAAUAAGAGAAAAGGAAGAUUGAGAAUGGAAGAGGAGCAAAAGAGGAACAAAGGGAUCCGAUGGUCGUGCAAAACGACGACGACCAUCAGAAAGAGGAAUUUGAUUCUUGACGACAGAUAGGGUUUCAC
rnacentral:lncRNA from 1 species